rnacentral:tRNA from 3 species
GGACAGGUGGCCGAGUGGUUGAAGGCGCACGCCUGGAACGCGUGUAUAUGUGAAAGCGUAUCGUGGGUUCGAAUCCCACCCUGUCCGCCA